AUGAUGAGCGGCGGGUGCGUGUACCUAGACUGGCCAUCUGCGGUGUCCCCGCAGCUGGAGAUCGAGCUGGACUUGGGGAUGGACGGAGGAGAACAACCACGCAAGCAGCAGCGGCGGCGUGGCCAAGAGGCCACUGCGUUCCCCUCUCCCUCCUCUCUCUUCCAUGGCUACGGACAUGGUUGGUUGGAUGGGAGUCAACCCCUCGUCGAUAUUCAGGUCGGUUGGCAAUCGAGUUUGGAAAGAAUUGAAAGGAAGAUCAGAAUCUGGGAGGAUUUGCUUAUUGGGGAAAUUGUGAAGGAGAUCGAUCGGGAGGGAAACAAAUUAGAUGAUGUGUGA
rnacentral:rRNA from 1 species